rnacentral:pre_miRNA from 1 species
CUAGUACUCCCUUCAUCCGGAAAUACUUGUCCUAGAAAUGAAUAAAAUGAAUGUAUCUAUAACUAAAAUAAGUCUAGAUACAACCAUUUAUAGGACAAGUAUUUCUGGACGGAAGGAGUACCUC